AGCGAGACCUUCGGGUCUAGCGGCGGACGGGUGAGUAACGCGUGGGAACGUGCCCUUCUCUACGGAAUAGCCCCGGGAAACUGGGAGUAAUACCGUAUACGCCCUUUGGGGGAAAGAUUUAUCGGAGAAGGAUCGGCCCGCGUUGGAUUAGGUAGUUGGUGGGGUAAUGGCCCACCAAGCCGACGAUCCAUAGCUGGUUUGAGAGGAUGAUCAGCCACACUGGGACUGAGACACGGCCCAGACUCCUACGGGAGGCAGCAGUGGGGAAUCUUAGACAAUGGGGGCAACCCUGAUCUAGCCAUGCCGCGUGAGUGAUGAAGGCCUUAGGGUUGUAAAGCUCUUUCAGCUGGGAAGAUAAUGACGGUACCAGCAGAAGAAGCCCCGGCUAACUCCGUGCCAGCAGCCGCGGUAAUACGGAGGGGGCUAGCGUUGUUCGGAAUUACUGGGCGUAAAGCGCACGUAGGCGGACUGGAAAGUCAGAGGUGAAAUCCCAGGGCUCAACCUUGGAACUGCCUUUGAAACUAUCAGUCUGGAGUUCGAGAGAGGUGAGUGGAAUUCCGAGUGUAGAGGUGAAAUUCGUAGAUAUUCGGAGGAACACCA
rnacentral:rRNA from 1 species